AGAGUUUGAUCCUGGCUCAGGAUGAACGCUGGCGGCGUGCCUAAUACAUGCAAGUCGAACGCAUCACUUUGGUGAUGAGUGGCGAACGGGUGAGUAAUACAUAAGUAACCUGGCCCAUACAGGGGGAUAACUGCUGGAAACGGCAGCUAAGACCGCAUAUGUGUAGAGAUCGCAUGAACUCUAUAUGAAAAGUGCUACGGCACUGGUAAGGGAUGGACUUAUGGCGCAUUAGCUAGUUGGCAGGGUAAAGGCCUACCAAGGCGACGAUGCGUAGCCGACCUGAGAGGGUGACCGGCCACACUGGGACUGAGACACGGCCCAGACUCCUACGGGAGGCAGCAGUAGGGAAUUUUCGGCAAUGGGGGAAACCCUGACCGAGCAACGCCGCGUGAAGGAAGAAGUAAUUCGUUAUGUAAACUUCUGUCAUAGAGGAAGAACGGUGGAUAUAGGGAAUGAUAUCCAAGUGACGGUACUCUAUAAGAAAGCCACGGCUAACUACGUGCCAGCAGCCGCGGUAAUACGUAGGUGGCGAGCGUUAUCCGGAAUUAUUGGGCGUAAAGAGGGAGCAGGCGGCACUAAGGGUCUGUGGUGAAAGAUCGAAGCUUAACUUCGGUAAGCCAUGGAAACCGUAGAGCUAGAGUGUGUGAGAGGAUCGUGGAAUUCCAUGUGUAGCGGUGAAAUGCGUAGAUAUAUGGAGGAACACCAGUGGCGAAGGCGACGAUCUGGCGCAUAACUGACGCUCAGUCCCGAAAGCGUGGGGAGCAAAUAGGAUUAGAUACCCUAGUAGUCCACGCCGUAAACGAU
rnacentral:rRNA from 1 species